AUUUAGCUUCCUCCUCUUUGCGUCUUCACCCCCAAAUAAUAUCAAAGUUGAACUUGCUCUAAGGACAGUAUGACCACUACGCGCAACCUGUCGGUUGAAUGGGCCAGUUAAAAAGAAAGAAAAAAAAUUGACGAACUGCACCGCAGGUAUCUCAGAAAAAAAAUUGACGAACUGCACCGCAGGUAUCUCAGAACAUGCUGAAGUGAAAUUUUUGAUAUCUUCCUUCCAUUACCCUUUUAUAUUUGCUCCCUACACCUCACUUGUGGGAUUUCACUGAGUAUGUUGUUGUUCCCUUUUAUCUUUAAGACUAAGAUAAUACCUCACGUAAAGGAGAAAGGUUAUAUAACUUACUUCACCAGAUUUAGUGAGACAUGAUGCAGAAAACAAGAUAUUAACUAUUACUUUCUUUUUGAUAAUAGAUGAAAUGGAGUUUGCUUUAUUGUGUUAGAUGAUAAACUGAGCAAUCACUUCUAUAAAGUGAAAAUCUAUGUUGCUCGGACUCGUCAAAAAUGUCAAUGGGUGUGUGUCGGAUUCUCCAAAAGUAGUGUACUUUUGGAGAUCCUACACAGGUACGGCAUCAAAAGUGUAAGAGUCCAUGCAACUUCCACAGAAGCAAAAAAAGGAAUGCGCAAUCAGAUUGCACAGGAGAACUAAGAAGCUUUUACU
rnacentral:lncRNA from 1 species